rnacentral:rRNA from 1 species
AAGCUCGUAGUUGAAUUUCGGGAUUAGUACGUCGGUCGUGCCUUAGGUACGUACUGGUGUUACUGGUUCCUACCUUCUGACGAACCAUCAUGUCAUUAAUUUGGUGUGGUGGGGAAUCAGGACUGUUACUUUGAAAAAAUUAGAGUGUUUAAAGCAGGCUCGCGCUUGAAUACAUUAGCAUGGAAUAAUGAAAUAGGACGUUGAUCCUAUAUUGUUGGUUUCUAGGAUUGACGUAAUGAUUAAUAGGAUGUUGGG